GUGUCAGCAGCCGCGGUAAUACGUAGGGUGCGAGCGUUAAUCGGAAUUACUGGGCGUAAAGCGUGCGCAGGCGGUUUUGUAAGACAGGCGUGAAAUCCCCGGGCUUAACCUGGGAACUGCGUUUGUGACUGCAAGGCUAGAGUGUGGCAGAGGGGGGUAGAAUUCCGCGUGUAGCAGUGAAAUGCGUAGAUAUGCGGAGGAAUACCGAUGGCGAAGGCAGCCCCCUGGGUCAACACUGACGCUCAUGCACGAAAGCGUGGGGAGCAAACAGGAUUAGAUACCCCUGUAGUCC
rnacentral:rRNA from 1 species